AUGAUCAGCUAUUUCAUGAGGUGCCGGUUAGCAGCUCCGGCCUGGCCGCUUCUGCGAGGCUCAUGUCCAGGCUGCGGCUGGCCCUGCGCCUCCUUGCUGGACGGGGCCUGCACGACCCCAGCACAGACUCCCUUGGCGUCUCCGAGUGGAAUACUGGACGCCCCGGUGAGACGCUGGAGACACCACACGGCGGUUAGCAAGGGAAGAGCCAGGUGCAGACACUGUGGAGCCCGCACCCGGGCCAGGGAUACUCGGCUGGGGUGGGGGUGGGGGUGGGGGUGGGUGGGGGGGCACUGGAAGCACAGCCGGUACGCUGCACCCCAGGGCCUUUCGUCCCGGGACACCCCACGUGCCUCUAAGUGCCCUCCCAGCUCUCCCGCCCGGCCCUGUGAAACCACCCUGGUGCAUUCCGCCCGUCCCGCCACCAGGGCCACGGCCUCUAAAUCGCGCCUGCCCCUUCCCCUUCCCUGCGCCCAGCGCUCCCAGAUGGCGGCGAGCGGCGCGCUGGACGGAUGCUGGGGACGGAGCAGCCCCCGCUCAGCCACAGGGCUGUACGGAAGACCGCAGCAGAAGCGCCCCGGCCGCUGUCCCGGGCUGGCGGGUAGCGCUCCAGGCCCUAGAGCCCGGCGCCUCAGGCGCUCCCGACUGGCUGGAGGCGGCCACUGCCCUCCCCGGGCGGCAGGUGCAAACGGGACCCUAGAGGCAGCGCCCGGGACCUGCUGCGAGCAUUGUUCCUGGGGCGGAGAUGGGGGCAGAAACUCCAUCUCCCGCGGCGCGCGGAGACUGAGCGCCCCGGAACCUGACCGUGUCAGCUCCACGCCUCCAUGUCUUCGGUCAGUUCAGCUCGGAGCGCGGGAGGCGGGCCACCCCUCUUCCCAGACCCCCGAAGCUGCGGUCGCGCCCUCCCGCCCUGCCCCGUGGACACUAGGGGGACUGCUGCCGUGUGACCCCCGCCCCCCGGCCCGACCUGAGGGCGAGGGACUUGGGCAGCCCCGCGUCCUCUGUUUCUCGCGGAGUAGGUGGGCUCCGCCUCCAGUCCUGACUGAGUCCCUAAGCCGCGAUCACGCAUCUGCGAAACCCCCUUUGCAUUUGAAGGUUAUCUAG
rnacentral:lncRNA from 1 species